UAAAGAACUAUGAUGACUGGUGUUCUAUAACCUUUAUAGAAACCAUAGUAAUGUUUGAUUUAUACACUCAAGAAGCUUUUCUUCUGUCUCAGAAUUUCCUCUCAGAUGUGAUUUAAUCCCAUUUCUUUUUGUUCAAUCUUCCAGAGAGAUGGAGUAAAACCAGUCAGCAUCAAUCAAUUACUUGGACCCUUGAAAUAGCAUGAACUAGCAAUCCUCCAAUAAAUCAGUGAAAAGAGGCAUUGGGAGAUGAAAUAUAGUGAUCCGGCGCGGUGGCUCACGCCUAUAAUCCCAGCACUUUGGGAGGCCGAGGCGGGUGGAUCACGAGGUCAAGAGAUCGAGACCAUCCUGGUCAACAUGGUGAAACCCCGUCUCUACUAAAAAUACAAAAAAUUAGCUGGGCAUGGUGGCGCGUGCCUAUAAUCCCAGCUACUCAGGAGGCUGAGGCAGGAGAAUUGCCUGAACCCAGGAGGCGGAGGUUGCGGUGAGCCGAGAUUGCGCCAUUGCACUCCAGCCUGGGUAACAAGAGCGAAACUCCGUCUCAAUUAAAAAACAAAAAUAAAAUAAAAAAUAUAAAGUGAGCUCUAUGAAAAUGUGCUAUUUUAUUAAUAAUGGAGAGAACGUUAUUUGAUAGGGAAACAAAGUAUGUGUAAAAAAACUUUAAAUAAUGCAAAUAGUAUGUAUUAGUUUGAUGCAAAAGUAAUUGCAGUUUUUGCUAUUACCUUCAAUAGGAAAAAACAGAAAUUACUUUUGCACCAACCUAAUAAUUAGAAACUGUAAAGAGGCUUGUUAUAUUUAGUGAAAAGAACCGUCAAAAAGAAACAGAAGUACCUGCAAAGCAGAAAAGAAGCAAACCAAACACUCAGCAAUUCCAAGGAAAACAAUGGGUCACCAUCACCAGGCCUUCAGAUACAGAUAUGCAAUAAGUAUUAAUUGCUAUGUUAGAAGAGAAACAGCCAAAAAAUAUGUGAACAAGGCUGGGCCCUAGAGGUACUAAUGGCAGUGGAAACGGUUGCCAUGACAACAGCAAGGAAAAGUCAACCAAAGGGAUUACUAAUACACAUGAGUGUAAAUGUGCCUGACAUUGAAUAAUGUAAGCCAAUUCCCUGGCAGAUUCCAGCACUAUUUUUGAACCUGAAAAAAAAAGUUUUAGCAUUUAUCACAUGCAGAUUUUAUUGUGUGGAUUUUAUGGCAAGGGGUAACUAACUUUUUCAUAAGAGGUGGGCUUAAUUUUAAAAAUAGCUUUUAUUAUAAGAAUAACCUAGGAACACUAAAGGAUAUUUUCAAAAGACAAAAGAAAUUGCUUGUCAUCCUCCGCAUCAAUACAGCAGCUUACCUUUUUCUUCUCUUCUCUAUUUCCAACUGCAUUUUUAUAUAACUGUAAUCCUAGUAUUCUGACAGUUUUGAAUUCUGCUUUUAUUAUUUAACCUUAUAUCUAUAGCAUUUUCUACAUUUUAAAUUCAUCUUCAUAAUUAUCAGUUAAAAUUUCUACACAAUAGUUAAUCAGUUGCAUUGUGUCAUAUACCCAGCCAUUCACUAAUUAGAAAGUAUGUAUUUUUGACAAGUUGAGUUAUAGACAAUGCAGAGGAAACAGGUAAAGUUUAGAUUAGCAUUACUGAAAUGCUGGCUUUCAACAUUGCAGAGAGUUGAGCUUGUGUUUGGGACAUCAUGCGUUACAAUAUGCAAAUAUCUGUGAGCUGGAGAGUGGGAGGGGUCAGCAGUUCUCGAUUAUUAAGUGGUGCUAACAAUUAAUAGGAUAGGGAAGAAUGCAUUUCUCAUU
ensembl:lncRNA